GGAUAAACUGCAUUGUCAUUUCUUUUAAGUAUUUGUUCUUGCUUUGUUUUGUCUUUUCAUGAUAUAGCCAUGGUUGCUGUCUGCCAAUACCCAUGUUUCUCCUUUUUCAUUGGGAAGCAGCCAUGGGUUUAGAGGAGAUUAAGUGUCCCAGCUCUUCUUGUACUAUUUAAAAUUUAUCUAAUCCCAUAGGGAACCCCACCCCAUUGUUAUAGUGAUUAAUUCAGGUAACAGAGGCUUAAGCCAGUCAGAGGACAACAUGCCCAUGGUCAGUGGCAUUGAUAUAAAAAUGUGUAUGUGAUUAAAGUUGAAUCAAUGAGUCAUGGGAGAAGAUUUUCUAAGGGCUUUAUAGAAAUAGUUACUUGCCCUUCCAGGUAAGCUAUCAAAAACCAACCCACUAGUAGUUACUGGGAAAUUGUAGUACAAGAAGUAGCUUAACAAUCUUGACCCCAGGAGUGAAGCCAGCCUUAUAAUGAUGUUGAAAUUGGCACAAAGGAAGGCAGAGUAGAGAGACAGAAGAAAGCUACUUGCUUAGAGAGACCACUGAGCUACUGAAUGAAACAUACUGAAGACCUUCCACUUUAUGAGGUCAUAAAUAAGUCCUCUUUGUUGUUUGAGUCACUUUAAGAGGACUAUUCCUAAAAGCCAAAUUUAACAACACAUCCAGCCUCAGACUCAGCAACUAUACCCCGGACCAUUUGCAUCAUGCUUGGAGUAUACUGUUAGAAUACAGAAAGGCAGCUGUGUAAAGAAAUAAGGGUCAUGAAAUCUGAUGAAGAGUUUUGAGGUCAUGUACAAGAAGGUGGGAAAAUAAGGAGAUCAUCAGAAAAAAAAAAAGACUCAGAAGAAAACUAGUGGUUUUUUGUUGCUGUUUUGUGUUGUUUUUAUCAACUCUGUGCCAGCCACUCUGACAAUUCACAGAUGCCAUCUCAUUUGUAAAACCAUCUCAUCUGGUCCCUGGACUUUGGGACUCAUUCUGCUCAACUUGAUCCCCACUCUGCCCAUUGAUCACAUACACACGUUUACACCUGGCAGAAGAGGAAGAGGAGGCAUGAAUGAAUGGCCUCUUCAGAAUGGAGAAAAGUUAAUUAUCCUGUGGAGUGCUCUGAAGAAUGUGGAGAGAAAAGUAAAUAAUAUUUCUGAUUGCCUUCUAUCUUUUAGGCUGUAUUAGGCAUAUUGCCCUACAAGUACCCUGAAUGGUGAUUAGAGAUUGUUUAUUUAUCUAGCAUAAUUAACUUUUCUACUUAUCUGAAUUUACCAUUAAACCACAUGUUUCCUUGGGCCAAGAAUCAAAGCUUGUAUAACACUGACAUUUGAGAACAUGGGCCCAACAGCCAUGUUUUCUGGGUUUAAGUUCCAACUUUCAUUCUAUAAAUAGGUGUAUAAACUUUGACAGAUAAUUUAACCAAUCUGGGCUUAACUUCUUCAUUCAAAACUAGAAAAUGUAAUAGAAAUCAUGAUGAGGAUUAAGAAUUAAUAAAUUUAAGCUGCUUGUCUUACUUUGCAUCAAUAAAUGUUAUUAUUGACAUAUCUCCCAUAUAUAAUUGGAGAUCAAUAAGUAUUUGAUGUUGGUAUUGUUGGAUAUUGUGAUGGUCUAAUGGGGGUUGCUUAAGGAAGUGUUUUUGAAGGCUAUGUGAGGCAGAUCAAGAAAUGCUUAAUGUAGUGUGGCUGUACUGAAAUUGUAUUGGUUGUUUUAGUGUACUUGUGUUGAAGGUGGGAGGCAAGUUCAAAGGAAAACAGGAAUUCAGGUCCUAAAAAAGUGUGUGCAAUGAAACAGUGUUCAAUAUAUGAAAUUAAUGAGUGACAAGGGGUGCUUAGUGCUCAAGUGUUCUAUUCAAAGGUCCACGGAAAUAUUG
ensembl:lincRNA